GAUGAAGAACGCAGCGAAAUGCGAUAAGUAAUGUGAAUUGCAGAAUUCAGAGAAUCAUCGAAUCUUUGAACGCACAUUGCGCCCGCCAGCACUCUGGCGGGCAUGCCUGUUCGAGCGUCAUUUCAACCAUCAAGCCCCCAGGGGCUUGUGCUGGGGCCCUGCGGCUGCCCGCAGGCCCUGAAAACCAGUGGCGGGCUCGCUAGUCACACCGAGCGCAGUAGCACAUCUCGCUCAGGGCGUGCGGCGGGCUCCUGCCGUGAAACCCCCCACUGUAACCCCAAAGGUUGACCUCGGAUCAGGUAGGAAUACCCGCUGAACUUAAGCAUAUCAAUAAGCGGAGGA
rnacentral:misc_RNA from 1 species